CUGAGUUCGCAGCAAGAACAUUUUCUCAACAUGAAGCUGAUCUCGUUCUCUUUGCUCCUGGUGGUGGCCCUGGCAUGCCUGGUCAACUGGAGCAGUGCCAUGCCUGAGCCUGACCCCGUGGCUGACCCUGACCCUGGCUUCCGUCGCUUCGGUGGAUUGGGAUAUGGUGGAUACGGCUACGGAAGUCGUGGAUACGGACACGGGGGCUACGGCUACGGAGGAUACCGACGAAGCUAUUACGGAUAAAGAUAUCCUUGACGCAGGACUCCUAUUUACUGUUCUUGAAGAUAUCGAAAGCAACACUACAAAAUCUUUACUUCCCGUUUUUCUUCUCCAAUAAACUUCGUGAAUAAAU
rnacentral:lncRNA from 1 species